rnacentral:rRNA from 1 species
UACGUAGGGUGCGAGCGUUGUCCGGAAUUAUUGGGCGUGAAGAGCUCGUAGGCGGUCUGUCGCGUCGGAUGUGAAAACCCAGGGCUCAACCCUGGGCCUGCAUUCGAUACGGGCAGACUAGAGUUCGGUAGGGGAGACUGGAAUUCCUGGUGUAGCGGUGAAAUGCGCAGAUAUCAGGAAGAACACCAAUGGCGAAAGCAGCUCUCUGGGACGGUACUGACGCUGAGACGCGAAAGCGUGGGGAGCGAACAGG